rnacentral:rRNA from 1 species
UAAGUAGACCGCCUGGGGAGUACGGCCGCAAGGUUAAAACUCAAAUGAAUUGACGGGGGCCCGCACAAGCGGUGGAGCAUGUGGUUUAAUUCGAUGCAACGCGAAGAACCUUACCUGGUCUUGACAUCCACAGAAGAAUCCAGAGAUGGAUUUGUGCCUUCGGGAACUGUGAGACAGGUGCUGCAUGGCUGUCGUCAGCUCGUGUUGUGAAAUGUUGGGUUAAGUCCCGCAACGAGCGCAACCCUUAUCCUUUGUUGCCAGCGGUUAGGCCGGGAACUCAAAGGAGACUGCCAGUGAUAAACUGGAGGAAGGUGGGGAUGACGUCAAGUCAUCAUGGCCCUUACGACCAGGGCUACACACGUGCUACAAUGGCGCAUACAAAGAGAAGCGACCUCGCGAGAGCAAGCGGACCUCAUAAAGUGCGUCGUAGUCCGGAUUGGAGUCUGCAACUCGACUCCAUGAAGUCGGAAUCGCUAGUAAUCGUGGAUCAGAAUGCCACGGUGAAUACGUUCCCGGGCCUUGUACACACCGCCCGUCACACCAUGGGAGUGGGUUGCAAAAGAAGUAGGUAGCUUAACCUUCGGGAGGGCGCUUACCACUUUGUGAUUCAUGACUGGGGUGAAGUCGUAACAAGGUAACCGUAGGGGAACCUGCGGUUGGAUCACCUCCUUACCUUAAAGAA